AUUGAACGCUGGCGGCAGGCCUAACACAUGCAAGUCGAGCGGAGCGGCGGACGGGUGAGUAAUGCCUAGGAAUCUGCCUGGUAGUGGGGGAUAACGUCCGGAAACGGGCGCUAAUACCGCAUACUAUCAGAUGAGACUAGGUCGGAUUCGCUAGUUGGUGGGGUAAAGGCCUACCAAGGCGACGAUCCGUAACUGGUCUGAGAGGAUGAUCAGUCACACUGGAACAGGUACGCGGUCCAGACUGCGACGUGAGGCAGGAGUGGGGAAUAUUGGACAAAGGGCGAAAGGCUGAUCCAGCCAUGCCGCGUGUGUGAAGAAAGUCUUCGGAUUGUAAAGCACGUUAAGUUGGGAGGCGUUACCAACAGAAUAAGCACCGGCUAACUUCGUGCCAGCAGCCGCGGUAAUUC
rnacentral:rRNA from 1 species